rnacentral:rRNA from 1 species
AGAGUUGAUUAUGGCUCAGGAUGAACGCUAGCGACAGGCUUAACACAUGCAAGUCGAGGGGCAGCAUAAAAGUAGCAAUACUUGGUGGCGACCGGCGCACGGGUGAGUAACGCGUAUGCAACCUACCUAUCAGAGGGGAAUAACCCGGCGAAAGUCGGACUAAUACCGCAUAAAACAGGGACACCGCAUGGUGAUAUUUGUUAAAGAAAUUCGCUGAUAGAUGGGCAUGCGUUCCAUUAGGUAGUUGGUGAGGUAACGGCUCACCAAGCCGACGAUGGAUAGGGGAACUGAGAGGUUGGUCCCCCACACUGGUACUGAGACACGGACCAGACUCCUACGGGAGGCAGCAGUGAGGAAUAUUGGUCAAUGGGCGAGAGCCUGAACCAGCCAAGUCGCGUGAAAGGAAGAAGGAUCUAUGGUUCGUAAACUUCUUUUGCAGGGGAAUAAAGUGCAGGACGUGUCCUGUUUUGUAUGUACCCUGAGAAUAAGGAUCGGCUAACUCCGUGCCAGCCGCUGC